GCGAGUGAAGCGGCAACAGCUCAAAUUUGAAAUCUGGCCCCCUCGGGGCCCGAGUUGUAAUUUGGAGAAGAUGCUUCGGGUGUGGCCCCGGUCUAAGUUCCUUGGAACAGGACGUCACAGAGGGUGAGAAUCCCGUACGUGCCCGGUGGCCGCGCCCGUGUGAAGCUCUUUCGACGAGUCGAGUUGUUUGGGAAUGCAGCUCAAAAUGGGUGGUAUAUUUCAUCUAAAGCUAAAUAUUGGCCAGAGACCGAUAGCGCACAAGUAGAGUGAUCGAAAGAUGAAAAGCACUUUGGAAAGAGAGUUAAACAGUACGUGAAAUUGUUGAAAGGGAAGCGCUUGCAACCAGACUUGCGCGCGGCCGAUCAUCCGGUGUUCGCACCGGUGCACUCGACCGCGCGCAGGCCAGCAUCGGUUUGGGUGGCUGGACAAAGGCCUCGGGAACGUGGCCCCCCUCGGGGGGUGUUAUAGCCCGAGGCGCAAUGCAGCCUACCCGGACCGAGGACCGCGCUUCGGCUAGGAUGC
rnacentral:rRNA from 1 species